rnacentral:rRNA from 1 species
GGUUAAGCGACUAAGCGUACACGGUGGAUGCCCUGGCAGUCAGAGGCGAUGAAGGACGUGCUAAUCUGCGAUAAGCGUCGGUGAGGUGAUAUGAACCGUUAUAACCGGCGAUUUCCGAAUGGGGAAACCCAGUGUGUUUCGACACACUAUCAUUAACUGAAUCCAUAGGUUAAUGAGGCGAACCGGGGGAACUGAAACAUCUAAGUACCCCGAGGAAAAGAAAUCAACCGAGAUUCCCCCAGUAGCGGCGAGCGAACGGGGAGGAGCCCAGAGCCUGAAUCAGUGUGUGUGUUAGUGGAAGCGUCUGGAAAGGCGUGCGAUACAGGGUGACAGCCCCGUACACAAAAAUGCACAUAUUGUGAGCUCGAUGAGUAGGGCGGGACACGUGGUAUCCUGUCUGAAUAUGGGGGGACCAUCCUCCAAGGCUAAAUACUCCUGACUGACCGAUAGUGAACCAGUACCGUGAGGGAAAGGCGAAAAGAACCCCGGCGAGGGGAGUGAAAAAGAACCUGAAACCGUGUACGUACAAGCAGUGGGAGCCUCUUAAUGGGGUGACUGCGUACCUUUUGUAUAAUGGGUCAGCGACUUAUAUUCUGUAGCAAGGUUAACCGAAUAGGGGAGCCGAAGGGAAACCGAGUCUUAACUGGGCGUUAAGUUGCAGGGUAUAGACCCGAAACCCGGUGAUCUAGCCAUGGGCAGGUUGAAGGUUGGGUAACACUAACUGGAGGACCGAACCGACUAAUGUUGAAAAAUUAGCGGAUGACUUGUGGCUGGGGGUGAAAGGCCAAUCAAACCGGGAGAUAGCUGGUUCUCCCCGAAAGCUAUUUAGGUAGCGCCUCGUGAAUUCAUCUCCGGGGGUAGAGCACUGUUUCGGCAAGGGGGUCAUCCCGACUUACCAACCCGAUGCAAACUGCGAAUACCGGAGAAUGUUAUCACGGGAGACACACGGCGGGUGCUAACGUCCGUCGUGAAGAGGGAAACAACCCAGACCGCCAGCUAAGGUCCCAAAGUCAUGGUUAAGUGGGAAACGAUGUGGGAAGGCCCAGACAGCCAGGAUGUUGGCUUAGAAGCAGCCAUCAUUUAAAGAAAGCGUAAUAGCUCACUGGUCGAGUCGGCCUGCGCGGAAGAUGUAACGGGGCUAAACCAUGCACCGAAGCUGCGGCAGCGACACUAUGUGUUGUUGGGUAGGGGAGCGUUCUGUAAGCCUGUGAAGGUGGCCUGUGAGGGUUGCUGGAGGUAUCAGAAGUGCGAAUGCUGACAUAAGUAACGAUAAAGCGGGUGAAAAGCCCGCUCGCCGGAAGACCAAGGGUUCCUGUCCAACGUUAAUCGGGGCAGGGUGAGUCGACCCCUAAGGCGAGGCCGAAAGGCGUAGUCGAUGGGAAACAGGUUAAUAUUCCUGUACUUGGUGUUACUGCGAAGGGGGGACGGAGAAGGCUAUGUUGGCCGGGCGACGGUUGUCCCGGUUUAAGCGUGUAGGCUGGUUUUCCAGGCAAAUCCGGAAAACCAAGGCUGAGGCGUGAUGACGAGGCACUACGGUGCUGAAGCGACAAAUGCCCUGCUUCCAGGAAAAGCCUCUAAGCAUCAGGUAACAUCAAAUCGUACCCCAAACCGACACAGGUGGUCAGGUAGAGAAUACCAAGGCGCUUGAGAGAACUCGGGUGAAGGAACUAGGCAAAAUGGUGCCGUAACUUCGGGAGAAGGCACGCUGAUAUGUAGGUGAAGCGACUUGCUCGUGGAGCUGAAAUCAGUCGAAGAUACCAGCUGGCUGCAACUGUUUAUUAAAAACACAGCACUGUGCAAACACGAAAGUGGACGUAUACGGUGUGACGCCUGCCCGGUGCCGGAAGGUUAAUUGAUGGGGUUAGCGGCAACGCGAAGCUCUUGAUCGAAGCCCCGGUAAACGGCGGCCGUAACUAUAACGGUCCUAAGGUAGCGAAAUUCCUUGUCGGGUAAGUUCCGACCUGCACGAAUGGCGUAAUGAUGGCCAGGCUGUCUCCACCCGAGACUCAGUGAAAUUGAACUCGCUGUGAAGAUGCAGUGUACCCGCGGCAAGACGGAAAGACCCCGUGAACCUUUACUAUAGCUUGACACUGAACAUUGAGCCUUGAUGUGUAGGAUAGGUGGGAGGCUUUGAAGUGUGGACGCCAGUCUGCAUGGAGCCGGCCUUGAAAUACCACCCUUUAAUGUUUGAUGUUCUAACGUUGGCCCGUAAUCCGGGUUGCGGACAGUGUCUGGUGGGUAGUUUGACUGGGGCGGUCUCCUCCUAAAGAGUAACGGAGGAGCACGAAGGUUGGCUAAUCCUGGUCGGACAUCAGGAGGUUAGUGCAAUGGCAUAAGCCAGCUUGACUGCGAGCGUGACGGCGCGAGCAGGUGCGAAAGCAGGUCAUAGUGAUCCGGUGGUUCUGAAUGGAAGGGCCAUCGCUCAACGGAUAAAAGGUACUCCGGGGAUAACAGGCUGAUACCGCCCAAGAGUUCAUAUCGACGGCGGUGUUUGGCACCUCGAUGUCGGCUCAUCACAUCCUGGGGCUGAAGUAGGUCCCAAGGGUAUGGCUGUUCGCCAUUUAAAGUGGUACGCGAGCUGGGUUUAGAACGUCGUGAGACAGUUCGGUCCCUAUCUGCCGUGGGCGCUGGAGAACUGAGGGGGGCUGCUCCUAGUACGAGAGGACCGGAGUGGACGCAUCACUGGUGUUCGGGUUGUCAUGCCAAUGGCACUGCCCGGUAGCUAAAUGCGGAAGAGAUAAGUGCUGAAAGCAUCUAAGCACGAAACUUGCCCCGAGAUGAGUUCUCCCUGACUCCUUGAGGGUCCUGAAGGAACGUUGAAGACGACGACGUUGAUAGGCCGGGUGUGUAAGCGCAGCGAUGCGUUGAGCUAACCGGUACUAAUGAACCGUGAGGCUUAACCUU